CUUGUGGGUAGCGGUGAAAUUCCAAUCGAGCCCGGAGAUAGCUGGUUCUCCCCGAAAUAGCUUUAGGGCUAGCCUCAAGGUGAGAGAUACGGAGGUAGAGCACUGAAUGUCCUAGGGGGUAUUGCACCUACCGAAGACUAUCAAACUCCGAAUGCCGUCAUCUUAUACUUGGGAGUCAGACUGUGGGUGAUAAGAUUCAUAGUCGAAAGGGCAACAGCCCAGAUCGUCAGCUAAGGUCCCUAAAUGUAAGUUAAGUGGUAAAGGAUGUGGGAUUGCACAGACAACCAGGAUGUUGGCUUAGAAGCAGCCACUCAUUCAAAGAGUGCGUAAUAGCUCACUGGUCGAGUGAUCCUGCGCCGAAGAUUUCCGGGGCUAAAACUUACUACCGAAGCUACGGCAUCAGUAAUGAUGGGUAGGGGAGCUUCCCAUACGGGUUGAAGCAUGACCGUAAGGACAUGUGGACAGUAUGGGAGUGAGAAUGUUGGCAUGAGUAGCGAGAUGUGGGUGAGAAUCCCACAGGCCGUAAACCCAAGGUUUCCAGGGGAAGGUUCGUCCGCCCUGGGUUAGUCGGGACCUAAGCUGAGGCCGAAAGGCGUAGGUGAUGGACAACAGGUUGAUAUUCCUGUACUA
rnacentral:rRNA from 1 species